rnacentral:rRNA from 1 species
AAAACGCUCGUAGUCGGAUUUCGGGGCGGGGCUUCCGGUCUGCCGUUGGGUAUGCACUGGAUGCCGCGUCCUUCCUUCCGGAGACCGUUCCUACUCUUAACUGAGCGGGGUCGGGAGACGGAUCUUUUACUUUGAAAAAAUCAGAGUGUUUCAAGCAGGCAUAUCGCUUUUGCAUGGAUUAGCAUGGGAUAAUGAAAUAGGACUUUGGUGCUAUUUUGUUGGUUUCGAACACCGAAGUAAUGAUUAACAGGGACAGUCAGGGGCACUAAUAUUCCGUUGAGAGAGGUGAAAUUCUUAGACCAGCGGAAGAUUAACCACUGCGAAAGCAUUUGCCAGGGAUGUUUUCACUGAUCAAGAACGAAAGUUAGGGGAUCGAAGACGAUCAGAUACCGUCGUAGUCUUAACCAUAAACCAUGCCGACUAGGGAUUGGAGGAUGUUCUUUUUGUGACUCCUUCAGCACCUUACGGGAAACUAAAGUCUUUGGGUUCCGGGGGGAGUAUGGUCGCAAGGCUGAAACUUAAAGGAAUUGACGGAAGGGCACCACCAGGGGUGGAGCCUGCGGCUUAAUUUGACUCAACACGGGGAAACUUACCAGGUCCAGACAUUGUGAGGAUUGACAGAUUGAGAGCUCUUUCUUG